UCUUUCACAUUUACUCACAUUUGCAGAUUUGCUUGCUACCUUUGAACCUUUAAAAUCAUUUUGCAUUCCGAAUUUGUCACAAGCCUCUAAUUAUUUAAAUAAAAAAAUCUAAGAAAUUUUCAUAAAAAAAGAAGAGGAAUUGAACAAGAGAGUUAAUGAAGAACGAGAAAUGCUCCAUGAAAGCUAAGGAAAAGGAGAGACAUACAAUUUAAGUGGAACUGAAAAUACGAAAUUUAAAAAGCAAGAAAAUUUUCUUGUUUGUGCGGUGACACAAAGCAAGUAAAGAACGUAACCAUGCUUUAGCAUAGUAAUAGUAAUCAAUCACACUUUGGACAUGAGGAAGUAAGAGUAGAAGGUGACGACAUGACCCUUAACGCCUACGGCAGGGUUAGUAUCGUUGGUCCAACAAUUGCGGUUGUUAAGUGAUAUAUCAUAUGUUUCAUGUUACAUAAUACUCCAUAUAAUUAAGACAUGCAGCAUCUGAUUACCUUUGGAUUCGACAACGAAGCAACUCCGGCGUCCUCCACCUCUGGCUCUGGGGAAACAUGGUUCCUCACCUCAAUCGCUGCGUCAUCAUCUUCCAUCAUUUCCAGGCUUAUUUUCCCUCUGCUGCGUCACCCUUCAGAUUUAUAUAUAUACAUGCACUUCAGGUUUUAUAACAGGGUGUAAAAUGUGGUAUUUAUGGUGCCAAUUCUGCAGAAUGGAUUAUGAGCAUGCAGUCACACAGGUGUUGGGGCUAUAGAGUUUAUUAUAUGCCAUUCAGAGGUCUGAAUUGCACUUGCAGAAGAGAAGAAGAUACCUGAGGAUCAAACUCAGAGCUUUGAACUUCCAAUUAAGAAAAGGAUGUAUACAUAUCAUACCUUCCACUCGCACAUACUUUUUUUAGGACCAUUGAGGAGAUAUUCAUAUGGCAUGGUGCUUCAAUUGGUUUCUGGCGUGGGGAUGUCAAAUUGUUAAUUGAUGAUGUUGGGGAACUAAAACCAACUAUUUUCUGUGUUGUUCCCCGUGUGCUUGAUAGAGUGUACUCAGGUUUGACACAGAAGAUUUCUUCUGGGGGCUUCUUGAAGAAGACAUUAAAGAAAGACAGUAGAAUCUCCUUUUAUGUUUAUUAUUAUUUUCAAAACUCAAAAAGAAAGACAGAUUUGAACUGUAAUUAUGUUUAUGUAUGAACAUGCGCACACAGUAGAAUCUCCUUUUAUGUU